AGCGAACGCUGGCGGCAGGCCUAACACAUGCAAGUCGAACGGACCCUUCGGGGUUAGUGGCGGACGGGUGAGUAACACGUGGGAACGUGCCUUUAGGUUCGGAAUAGCUCCUGGAAACGGGUGGUAAUGCCGAAUGUGCCCUUCGGGGGAAAGAUUUAUCGCCUUUAGAGCGGCCCGCGUCUGAUUAGCUAGUUGGUGGGGUAAUGGCCCACCAAGGCUACGAUCAGUAGCUGGUCUGAGAGGAUGACCAGCCACAUUGGGACUGAGACACGGCCCAAACUCCUACGGGAGGCAGCAGUGGGGAAUCUUGCGCAAUGGGCGAAAGCCUGACGCAGCCAUGCCGCGUGUAAUGAUGAAGGUCUUAGGAUUGUAAAAUACUUUCACCGGUGAAGAUAAUGACUGUAGCCGGAGAAGAAGCCCCGGCUAACUUCGUG
rnacentral:rRNA from 1 species